rnacentral:rRNA from 1 species
GAUGAACGCUGGCGGCGUGCCUAAUACAUGCAAGUCGAGCGAACGGACGAGAAGCUUGCUUCUCUGAUGUUAGCGGCGGACGGGUGAGUAACACGUGGAUAACCUACCUAUAAGACUGGGAUAACUUCGGGAAACCGGAGCUAAUACCGGAUGAUAUUUUGAACCGCAUGGUUCAAAAGUGAAAGACGGUCUUGCUGUCACUUAUAGAUGGAUCCGCGCUGCAUUAGCUAGUUGGUAAGGUAACGGCUUACCAAGGCAACGAUGCAUAGCCGACCUGAGAGGGUGAUCGGCCACACUGGAACUGAGACACGGUCCAGACUCCUACGGGAGGCAGCAGUAGGGAAUCUUCCGCAAUGGGCGAAAGCCUGACGGAGCAACGCCGCGUGAGUGAUGAAGGUCUUCGGAUCGUAAAACUCUGUUAUUAGGGAAGAACAUAUGUGUAAGUAACUGUGCACAUCUUGACGGUACCUAAUCAGAAAGCCACGGCUAACGACGUGC